CAUGCAUUCCUCAAGCCGAACAAGAUAAAUUACCACAGGAGCCGUUCCAAGGUCUAGACACGUUUGACUUACUGCGGAGAGCUAGAUUCUGGAUAGAACGGGGUAACUUAGCGGCUGCACUGCGCUACGUUAGUUCACUAGAGGGCGCGUCUCGACUGGCAGCGUCCACGUGGUUCGAUGCCGCACGUUCACAUCUGGAGACCAGGCAAGCGGCCGAGGCGGUGUUGGCCCACGCCGCUGCAUUGGGCCUGCAGUAUAUUUAGACGACCUGUUACUACUGUGAUGGACCUUUGCGUAAUAAGGACGUCCAAAGUUUCCUUGCUUGUAAACGUUGUAAAAAAUAAUUUUGAUAUCUUGUAAAUUGACUAAACUUCGCAUUUUGUAAAACAAAUUAAAAGUUGA